rnacentral:rRNA from 1 species
AUUGAACGCUGGCGGCGGGCCUAACACAUGAAAGUCGAACGAGUGGCGGACGGGUGAGGAAUGUCUGGGAAACGGCCCGAUGGAGGGGGAUAACUACUGGAAACGGUAGCUAAUACCGCAUACCAUCGGAUGUGCCCAGAUGGGAUUAGCUAGUAGGUGGGGUAACGGCUCACCUGGGCGACGAUCCCUAGCUGGUCUGAGAGGAUGACGAGCCGCACUGGAACUGAGACAGGGUCCAGACUCCUCCGGGAGGCAGCAGUGGGGAAUAUUGCACAAUGGGCGCAAGCCGGAUGCGGCCAGGCCGCGUGUAUGAAGAAGGCCUUCGGGUUGUAAAGUACUUUCAGCGAGGAGGCGUUACUCGCAGAAGAAGCACCGGCUAACUCCGUGCCAGCAGCCGCGGUAAUUC